AUCGCUUUUCGGCCUUUGGCUAAGAUCAAAAUGUAGUUCUGUUCUUAUCACUUAAUAUCUAUACGAUCCCCAUUGGGGUCUACGAUAUUAAACGAUUUUUGAAAAAGGCUAAGUCUAGGGCUUGCUCCACCUUUGCCGCGGAUCGGCCCGGGAUUGCAGUACCUCCGGGAUUUGGGCCCUCCUCC